UACCUCAUAUGCCUUCCCUCUUCACCGUGCAGCUAUCAAGGGAAGGCAUAUGAGGUAAUCAGUGUAACGCUUUCGUGUUGUCCUGAUUGUAUUGAGGGCAUAAGUGUUCUAGGAGAGACUGCUUUGCACCUGGCUGUCAGUUUCAAGCACUAAAUGCAUUGGUGGAUUGGAUUAAAAUGAAUAGGGAACACGUGUUGAACAUGAAGGUGAAUUGGGUAACAGAGUUCUGCACCUUGUAGCCUGGAAAAAACAGCAUCAGG
rnacentral:misc_RNA from 1 species